CAAUAGCGUAUAUUAAAGUUGUUGCAGUUAAAAAGCUCGUAGUUGGAUUUGUGGCGUACGGUGUGUUCCGGGCACUUGUUGUCUGCGUAACCUGCUGUUGCCAUCCUUGGGUGGAACCUGUGUGGCAUUAGGUUGUCGUGCAGGGGAUGCCCAUCAUUUACUGUGAAAAAAUUAGAGUGUUCAAAGCAGGCUUAUGCCGUUGAAUAUAUUAGCAUGGAAUAAUGAGAUAGGACUUUUUUGCUAUUUUGUUGGUUUGCGCAAAGAGGUAAUGAUUAAUAGGGACAGUUGGGGGUAUUCGUAUUCCAUUGUCAGAGGUGAAAUUCUUGGAUUUUUGGAAGACGAACUACUGCGAAAGCAUUUACCAAGGAUGUUUUCAUUAA
rnacentral:rRNA from 1 species